GGUGGCACAAUGGGUCAGUGUGUCUUGCUGUUAACCAGAAGGGUGGUGGUUUGAGCCCACCCAGGGAUG
rnacentral:tRNA from 1 species